CCUAAAGACAAAGAAGAGAACAUGAAGAGAAGACAAAGGGAAGAGUAGUCAUUCGGAGCGACAGCUUUGCUUGCGACGGUCAUUGCUUUGUCCGGUCGACGAAGACCCACGAACAACGCAGACAAAGCCAUCUCACCUCUCCCUCUGGCCGAAGCUCUCGUACCUCUUCCUCGCAUCGCCAAAUUUCAGGGAGUGGCUGAUUGAGUCUGUCUUAGUCUCUUGCCUACUAGUAAGGGUAGUUGGGUUACUAUUGCAAGGGCAUUGAGGUUGUUGAGGCUACUAAGACUAUAG